AGAGUUUGAUCCUGGCUCAGGAUGAACGCUGGCGGUAUGCCUAACACAUGCAAGUCGAACGAUGUCUUCGGACAUAGUGGCGGACGGGUGAGUAACGCGUGAGAAUCUGCCUCUAGGAUGGGGAUAACGGUUGGAAACGACCGCUAACACCCAAUAUGCCGUAAGGUGAAAAAUUUAUUGCCUGGAGAGGAGCUCGCGUCUGAUUAGCUAGUUGGUGGGGUAAGAGCUCACCAAGGCUUCGAUCAGUAGCUGGUCUGAGAGGAUGAGCAGCCACACUGGGACUGAGACACGGCCCAGACUCCUACGGGAGGCAGCAGUGGGGAAUUUUCCGCAAUGGGCGAAAGCCUGACGGAGCAAUACCGCGUGAGGGAGGAAUGCCUUUGGGUUGUAAACCUCUUUUCUCAGGGAAGAAGAUCUGACGGUACCUGAGGAAUAAGUAUCGGCUAACUCCGUGCCAGCAGCCGCGGUAAUACGGAGGAUGCAAGCGUUAUCCGGAAUCAUUGGGCGUAAAGCGUCCGCAGGUGGUUUCCAAAGUCUGCUGUUAAAGACUGGAGCUCAACUCCGGAACGGCGGUGGAAACUUGGAAACUAGAGUUCGGUAGGGGUAGCAGGAAUUCCCAGUGUAGCGGUGAAAUGCGUAGAUAUUGGGAAGAACAUCGGUGGCGAAGGCGUGCUACUGGACCGUAACUGACACUCAGGGACGAAAGCUAGGGGAGCGAAAGGGAUUAGAUACCCCUGUAGUCCUAGCUGUAAACGAUGGAAACUAGGUGUGGCUUGUAUCGACCCGAGCCGUG
rnacentral:rRNA from 1 species